rnacentral:rRNA from 1 species
UACGAAGGGGGCUAGCGUUGCUCGGAAUCACUGGGCGUAAAGCGCACGUAGGCGGGUCGUUAAGUCAGGGGUGAAAUCCUGGAGCUCGACUCCAGAACUGCCUUUGAUACUGGCGAUCUCGAGUUCGGGAGAGGUGAGUGGAACUGCGAGUGUAGAGGUGAAAUUCGUAGAUAUUCGCAAGAACACCAGUGGCGAAGGCGGCUCACUGGCCCGAUACUGACGCUGAGGUGCGAAAGCGUGGGGAGCAAACAGG